UGGGGAAUAUUGCACAAUGGGCGCAAGCCUGAUGCAGCCAUGCCGCGUGUGUGAAGAAGGCCUUCGGGUUGUAAAGCACUUUCAGCGAGGAGGAAGGUGGUGAGCUUAAUACGCUCAUCAAUUGACGUUACUCGCAGAAGAAGCACCGGCUAACUCCGUGCCAGCAGCCGCGGUAAUACGGAGGGUGCAAGCGUUAAUCGGAAUUACUGGGCGUAAAGCGCACGCAGGCGGUUUGUUAAGUCAGAUGUGAAAUCCCCGGGCUCAACCUGGGAACUGCAUUUGAAACUGGCAAGCUAGAGUCUCGUAGAGGGGGUAGAAUUCCAGGUGUAGCGGUGAAAUGCGUAGAGAUCUGGAGGAAUACCGGUGGCGAAGGCGGCCCCCUGGACGAAGACUGACGCUCAGGUGCGAAA
rnacentral:rRNA from 1 species